rnacentral:tRNA from 1 species
GGCGACGUGGCCAAGUGGUAAGGCAGGGGUCUGCAAAACCCCGACCACGGGUUCGAAUCCCGUCGUCGCCU